UUUUCCGGUCAUUUUGCACAAAAGUACUCAAACUUUCUAUAAAUACAACCCGUCGUCCACUCUCCUCUCUCAAAAACAUUUUUGAAUAAACCCCUAAAGUUUUCUGAAAUCAACCUGCAGUCCACCACACCUCCUCGCAUCGCCCCGCCCCGCGCCGCCGCUGCCCCACAGGCGCGCGCCCUGGGCCGGGGAACGGCAGGGGCGACUCCUCCGUGAAGGUGAGUAGGUGACCGUGCGGGCAAGGACGAGGCAGCUGCUGCCGACCGCGACGAUGGGGUGAGCAAUGGAGCCGGCGAACCGGCGAAUGUGGCAGAGGGGCGCGCGCCACCGUCCGCCACGCCGGGCAACCACGCCGAGCCGCUGCGCCGCAGGGCGUCCCGCCAGGCCACCGCCCGCCGCCGCGCCGCCACGAGCACCGCGCCGAGAUGGCCGCCGAGCCGCGGAGGAGGAGAACGGAAGAGGAGAAGGCGCCACGGAAGAACCGCCGCGUCUAGCUGGCCUCUGCGUAGCCGCGUCGAGCCGGCGGGCCUCUCUCGGCCGCGCGACCCGGCGUGGCGCCUCCGCCUCGCGUGGCCUGGGUCGCGCAAGAGCGCCGCCGGCGACUGCCGCGCCUGGCCGCGGCUCACCCUCCACCUGCCCGCCGGCCAAGCCCUGGCCUGGCACCACGGCCGCAAGGGGCGCAGCGCUGCGCAGCUCUACGCGGCUAGCCGGCCGGCUCCCACGCGGCUGAGGCUUUCACAUUUCAUUUUUGAAUCCAUCAUUUUAAUUAGGCACAUGUCGGUAUUAAAAAAAGAGGAAAGAACACCUUAAAUUAGCCAAUUGAUCCAAAUGUGCAACAAUCAUAUCCUUGCUUAUGAGUUGUUAUCCUUGUUAGUAAUAAUUUGUUACUGGUGCUCCCAUGUCCUAAGAAAUAAGGAUAUCUGAAUUGUUUCAGUUGUGCAAGGGAAUCUAUAGAAUGCAUUUCCAUCUCCCUUUCCUCAGUUCUAUCUAAUUUUGGUUAUGUACUGACACAUAUCUCCACUAGAAAGCACGGAAGGCCCUUUGGCUUCUUUUCCUGGAACUGAACAGUUUUCAGGUCUACAGAUCAGUUGAAGGAGAUGGCCUGGCAAGGGAAAGAUCCAUCUACAGAUUUCAGAGGUGGUGGUUUUAUAUCUUUGGAGAAUUUACUGUACUUCUCUAAGAACUUUCCAGUGAGUAAAAAAUCACUUUUACUGUUACAUUUGUAUAGGGAUGAAAUCUUACAGAGCUGAUGUAGUUUAGGCUUUUAUCCCGAAAGGCCUUUCAGGCUGAUAGUCUGACUGAACCGAAUAGUUGGUGGUUGUCAACAUAGCUAUAUUCUUACAAAUUUAGAGGACUUCAGUGAGCCCAACUGACUUGCAUGUUUUCUUAGAAACUCACUGCAGCUAGCUAGGGCCAGUUAAUUUUUUUGCAAUUACCUUCAGUAAGGGUACAACACAUUCAUCUCAACAUUUCUGCAAUGUCAGGCUAUGCGUCCCGUGGCUUUAAAUGUUAUUUAUUGAGCUUGAGCUCAAAAGGAUCUAAAGGAUUCGCAUAGUUUACAUGUUUCUUGGAAUUUCACUGAAACUCUGCCUUCUUCCUACUGUGGCAAUUGAACAGGCAAUGAUCCAUUCAUGAUUUCAUUAAAUGAAGAAAGGAUCGAUAAUUUAUCUUUUAGAUGCUGUAAAGAUGUUAUAUUUGUCCAGCUAUGCUGCAUUAUGUAAUUAGAAAAGAACAACAGGAAAUCCAGUUACCACCACUAUGUUGAACUACGUCCUUUUAAAUUGGGCCCCAAAUUCAACACAGUGAGUCCCUUUCUCUGCAGAAAUCCUUCCAGGAACUCUUUGUAAGAAGAAUGGUGAUAGAGAGUUGUGGGAAUAUCCCUUUGCUGUAGCUGGUGUAAAUAUUACAUUCAUGCUAAUUCAGUUGCUUGAUCUUGAAGCAGGUUUGUUUGUCAAACUUUUCAGCAUUUCUUAUUAUGUUGAUCCGAACUGUGAAAGUAGUUUGGCAAUCUUCAUGAACAACUGUAAUCUGAAGUUGGUGUUGCUACAGCUAAGCCAAAGUCAUUGAUUGGAGCAGUGUUCCUAAAUCUACUUAAAGGUAUGUCAUUCUUUUACUGUUACAUUUGUGUAGGGAUGAAAUCUUACAGGGCUGAUGUAGUUUAGGCUUUUAUCCCGAAAGGCCUUUCAGGCUGACAGUCUGACUGAAUCGAAUAGUUGGUGGUUGUCAACAUAGCUAUAUUCUUACAAAUUUGGAGGAAUUCAGUGAGCCCAACAGACUUGCAUGUUUUCUUAGAAACGCACUGCAGCUAGCUAGGGCCAGUUAAUUAUUUUGCAAUUACUUUCAUUAAGGGUACAGAAAUCCAUACAGCAUUAUAGGCGUAAUGUUUAACACCUGUGUGAGGCCCUCUAGAGAUAUACAUAUAUUAUUAGCUUUUAAUAGAAGCUGGGUAAGAGCAAUCAUGUUUUCACAAUUACCUCCAGGUAGGACCAUCUGACCUUUUUUCCAGAAAAUGAUCGAGCAUUUGACAUUUUUUACUGCAUAACUUUCAAAUUAUAAAUGAUCAGAAAUGGCUGGACAUGCACGCCAGUUACAUGGAUUUACUAUAAUAGAUGCUUUGCAAUUUACACAAUGUCAAAUUAUUUCUGAACCGCCCCAAACCAAAAAAUUAGUUAUACUUGUGGUCAAAACAAGACAUAGCAAGUUAACACUCUUAGGUACAUAUAAUAUCAUGGUAGCAGGCAAAUUCUCCAUGGAUGGCAACAAGGAACACACAGGCAAGUGCCUGCAUAUAGGCAAGGAAGGGGUUGGCGUCCACACUCGUGAGCAUUAUCCAUAUGGUGCCAAGUGUUCUUCUGUUACAUUGGCAGAUGAACUAUACAUCUACAAAAAGUACCAUUAUUCAUAAUAUGAUGAUGAGUAAAUUGCAUGGAAUGGCUGACGACGGUAGUUUUACAUGCAAUUAUUUUCAAUCACCUCAUUUUCUCAGUUAUACAGCCUUUUAAAUUUGCAAAACACAGACUCACAAACUUUUAAUCCUAAUUCUAUGGCCUGCCCACUGGCCAUACGCGGCAACGCCGCGUCCAUUUCUAGUGAUUCUUAUUUCCCUAUUCUCUUAGUAGGAGAAGAGCGAAAUAAACGAGGCCGGAAACGACCACGGUCCGGCGCCGGUGGUGGAGCAGAACAGAGCAAGCAGCCAGAGGCGGGCCCAAGUGAAAGCAAGGGUGCUGUCGUCUGGCUGUCGCGCGACGUCGUGAUGGUUGUCUGCCACCUGUUGUCGUCGCUUACCGCUGCUGCCGCUUUGCCGACUUCGAGCGCGAGUCGUGAUUGUGUGAAGAUGAAUAGGCAACAGCUAACACUCAAACUCAAGGACAACAGGGAAAACAACUUACAUUUGGAUCGGCUAAGAGCAACUCCGGCAGUAGCAGCCCUUAAAUCAAACCCUCCAAGUGCCAAAUGAGGAUGCCUCUAUUUUUUAGAGGCCUCUAAAUUUACUCAACUCCAACAAUAGCUCUCAAUUCUAACUUGUGAUAGAGGGCUCCUUAGAGACCCACUAGGAAUGGAUGAAGGAUGAGGAAAUUUGGAGGCAUUCUUGAAAUAGAGGGUCUAGUAGAGAGUCUGCUAGAGUAUAUCUUUUUAGUUUUAUUUUCUAAAUUUGAGAUAUGAGUCUGUUUAAAAGAUC